AAAACCUUUGUAGAUGCAUGAUUCCCUCGUUUCACCAUUUAUCUCUCAAGGACCCUUAUUGGUAUUUUGUCUAAAGUGCCAUGAGCAUCUGUAGGAGGUAACGUUGGAGUGCUAGCAGCAGAACCAAUGUGCUUUUUGAGUUGAGAAACGUGGAAGGUGGAAUGGAUGUGGGCAUUAGCAGGUAAGGUCAACUUGUAUGCUACCUUGCCCCUCCUAGCUUCUAUAGAGAAAUGGAUAAAAUAUCUUAGGUACAGCUUCUGAUUGGCUUUCGUCUUGAGGGAAUACUGUCUAUAAGGUUGUGAUUUGAGGUAAACCAAGUCACUGAUAUGAAAUUCCCUAUCAGAUUUACAUUUGUCAGCUAUUUGCUUCAUACAUUUUUGAGCUCGUUUUAAAUGAAAUUGCAAUAGAUCUCAAGCAGCUUCCCUUUG
rnacentral:lncRNA from 1 species